GCCUGCCCAGUGACUACGGGUUUAACGGCCGCGGUAUUUUGACCGUGCAAAGGUAGCGCAAUCACUUGUCUCUUAAAUAGAGACCUGUAUGAAUGGCUAGACGAGGGCUUAACUGUCUCCCCCCUCCAGUCAGUGAAAUUGAUCUAUCCGUGCAGAAGCGGGUGUGAUUAUACAAGACGAGAAGACCCUUUGGAGCUUAAGGUACAAAAUUCAACCACGUUAAACGACUCUGUAAAAGGCAGGAACUUAGUGGCACAUGAAGUUUUACCUUCGGUUGGGGCGACCACGGAGGAGAGAAAAGCCUCCGAGUGGACUGGGCCAAGUCCCAAAGCUAAGAGAUACAUCUCUAAGCCGCAGAAUAUCUGACCAAAAUGAUCCGACUAAUAAAGUCGAUCAACGAACCAAGUUACCCUAGGGAUAACAGCGCAAUCCUCUCCCAGAGUCCAUAUCGACGAGGGGGUUUACGACCUCGAUGUUGGAUCAGGACAUCCUAAUGGUGCAGCCGCUAU
rnacentral:rRNA from 1 species